UCACCAGACUCCUACGGGAGGCAGCAGUGGGGAAUAUUGCACAAUGGGGGAAACCCUGACGCAGCGACGCCGCGUGAGGGAUGAAGGUCUUCGGAUCGUAAACCUCUGUCAGCAGGGAAGAACAGUCACUGUGCUAAUCAGCAGUGAAUUGACGGUACCUGCAAAGGAAGCACCGGCUAACUCCGUGCCAGCAGCCGCGGUAAUACGGAGGGUGCGAGCGUUAUCCGGAUUCACUGGGUGUAAAGGGAGCGUAGACGGCCAUGCAAGCCAGGGGUGAAAGCCCGGGGCCCAACCCCGGGACUGCCCUUGGAACUGCAUGGCUGGAGUGCGGGAGGGGAAGGCGGAAUUCCUGGUGUAGCGGUGAAAUGCGUAGAUAUCGGGAGGAACACCGGGGGCGAAGGGGGCCUGCUGGGCCGCGCCUGACGUUGAGGCUCGAAAGCGUGGGGAGCGAACAGGAUUAGAUACCCGAG
rnacentral:rRNA from 1 species